GACGAACGCUGGCGGCGUGCCUAAUACAUGCAAGUCGAGCGAGCGGAACCAACAGAUUUACUUCGGUAAUGACGUUGGGAAAGCGAGCGGCGGAUGGGUGAGUAACACGUGGGGAACCUGCCCCUAAGUCUGGGAUACCAUUUGGAAACAGGUGCUAAUACCGGAUAAGAAAGCAGAUCGCAUGAUCAGCUUUUAAAAGGCGGCGUAAGCUGUCGCUAAGGGAUGGCCCCGCGGUGCAUUAGCUAGUUGGUAAGGUAACGGCUUACCAAGGCAACGAUGCAUAGCCGAGUUGAGAGACUGAUCGGCCACAUUGGGACUGAGACACGGCCCAAACUCCUACGGGAGGCAGCAGUAGGGAAUCUUCCACAAUGGACGCAAGUCUGAUGGAGCAACGCCGCGUGAGUGAAGAAGGUGUUCGGAUCGUAAAGCUCUGUUGUUGGUGAAGAAGGAUAGAGGUAGUAACUGGCCUUUAUUUGACGGUAAUCAACCAGAAAGUCACGGCUAACUACGUG
rnacentral:rRNA from 1 species